rnacentral:lncRNA from 1 species
UUCAUUUUCUCUCUCUACCUUUCCAAAAAUGUCCGGUUACCCGCACAAUGUUCCCGGCUACGGUUACGGCCAGCCACCGUCAUCUCAGCCGUAUUCCUCCACCCCAUACGGCGCCCCACCACCGUCUUCAGCCUCACCAUACGGUGCUCCACCUCCGUCUUCAUCAUCACCCUACGGUGCUUCACCAUCACCUUACGGUGCUCCACCACCGCAUUCAUCAUCACCCUACGGUGCUCCACCUCCUCAAUCUCACUCCCCUUACGCUCCCGUUCCGUCUACCUACGGCGCCGGAGCACCGCCUUACGGUGAUCCGCAUAAACCCCCAAAAGAGAAUAAACCACAGUCUUCAUCGCCUUACGGUGGGGCAGGAGCAGGGUACCCUGCCCCACCUCCUUCGGCUCCUUACGGUGAUCCGAACAAACCACCGAAGGAUAGCCACUCACAACCUUCUGCUCCUUAUGGUGGAUACCACGCGCCACCUCCUGCUGGGCCUUAUGGAGCUAGUAGCCCUUUUGCAUCUCUCGUGCCCUCUGCUUUUCCAC